rnacentral:rRNA from 1 species
CCUACGGGAGGCAGCAGUGAGGAAUAUUGGUCAAUGGCCGUAAGGCUGAACCAGCCAAGUCGCGUGAAGGAAGAAUGAUCUAUGGUUUGUAAACUUCUUUUAUAGGGGAAUAAAGGUAUCCACGUGUGGAUUUUUUCAUGUACCCUAUGAAUAAGCAUAGGCUAACUCCGUGCCAGCCGCCGCGGUAAUACGGAGGAUGCGAUCGUUAUCCGGAUUUAUUGGGUUUAACGGGUGCGUAGGUUGUUUUUUAAGUCAGCAGUGAAAGUUUGUGGCUCAACCAUAAAAUUGCCGUUGAAACUGGAAGACUUGAGUGUGUUAGAGGUAGGUGGAAUGCGUGGUGUAGCGGUGAAAUGCAUAGAUAUCACGCAGAACUCCGAUUGCGAAGGCAGCUUACUAGGCCAUAACUGACACUGAAGCACGAAAGCGUGGGGAUCAAACAGGAUUAGAUACCCUAGUAGUC